rnacentral:rRNA from 1 species
AAUGAUGGAAUGACUCUCGGCAACGGAUAUCUCGGCUCUCGCAUCGAUGAAGAACGCAGCGAAAUGCGAUACGUGGUGUGAAUUGCAGAAUCCCGUGAACCAUCGAGUUUUUGAACGCAAGUUGCGCCCGAGGCCAUUCGGCUGAGGGCACGCCUGCCUGGGCGUCAGUU